rnacentral:rRNA from 1 species
GACGAACGCUGGCGGCGUGCUUAACACAUGCAAGUCGAACGGAAAGGCCCUGCUUUUGUGGGGUGCUCGAGUGGCGAACGGGUGAGUAACACGUGAGUAACCUGCCCUUGACUUUGGGAUAACUUCAGGAAACUGGGGCUAAUACCGGAUAGGAGCUCCUGCUGCAUGGUGGGGGUUGGAAAGUUUCGGCGGUUGGGGAUGGACUCGCGGCUUAUCAGCUUGUUGGUGGGGUAGUGGCUUACCAAGGCUUUGACGGGUAGCCGGCCUGAGAGGGUGACCGGCCACAUUGGGACUGAGAUACGGCCCAGACUCCUACGGGAGGCAGCAGUGGGGAAUAUUGCACAAUGGGCGGAAGCCUGAUGCAGCAACGCCGCGUGCGGGAUGACGGCCUUCGGGUUGUAAACCGCUUUCGCCUGUGACGAAGCGUGAGUGACGGUAAUGGGUAAAGAAGCACCGGCUAACUACGUGCCAGCAGCCGCGGUGAUACGUAGGGUGCGAGCGUUGUCCGGAUUUAUUGGGCGUAAAGGGCUCGUAGGUGGUUGAUCGCGUCGGAAGUGUAAUCUUGGGGCUUAACCCUGAGCGUGCUUUCGAUACGGGUUGACUUGAGGAAAGUAGGGGAGAAAUGGAAUUCCUGGUGGAGCGGUGGAAUGCGCAGAUAUCAGGAGGAACACCAGUGGCGAAGGCGGGUCUCUGGGCCUUUCCUGACGCUGAGGAGCGAAAGCGUGGGGAGCGAACAGGCUUAGAUCCCCUGGUAGUCCACGCUGUAAACGGUGGGUACUAGGUGUGGGGUCCAUUCCACGGGUUCCGUGCCGUAGCUAACGCUUUAAGUACCCCGCCUGGGGAGUACGGCCGCAAGGCUAAAACUCAAAGGAAUUGACGGGGCCCCGCACAAGCGGCGGAGCAUGCGGAUUAAUUCGAUGCAACGCGUAGAACCUUACCUGGGUUUGACAUGGAUCGGAAGCGCUCAGAGAUGGGUGUGCCUCUUUUGGGGUCGGUUCACAGGUGGUGCAUGGCUGUCGUCAGCUCGUGUCGUGAGAUGUUGGGUUAAGUCCCGCAACGAGCGCAACCCUUGUUCACUGUUGCCAGCACGUUAUGGUGGGGACUCAGUGGAGACCGCCGGGGUCAACUCGGAGGAAGGUGGGGAUGACGUCAAGUCAUCAUGCCCCUUAUGUCCAGGGCUUCACGCAUGCUACAAUGGCUGGUACAGAGAGUGGCGAGCCUGUGAGGGUGAGCGAAUCUCGGAAAGCCGGUCUCAGUUCGGAUUGGGGUCUGCAACUCGACCUCAUGAAGUCGGAGUCGCUAGUAAUCGCAGAUCAGCAACGCUGCGGUGAAUACGUUCCCGGGGCU